GACGAACGCUGGCGGCGUGCCUAAUACAUGCAAGUCGAACGCUUUUUCUUUCACCGGAGCUUGCUCCACCGAAAGAAAAAGAGUGGCGAACGGGUGAGUAACACGUGGGUAACCUGCCCAUCAGAAGGGGAUAACACUUGGAAACAGGUGCUAAUACCGUAUAACACUAUUUUCCGCAUGGAAGAAAGUUGAAAGGCGCUUUUGCGUCACUGAUGGAUGGACCCGCGGUGCAUUAGCUAGUUGGUGAGGUAACGGCUCACCAAGGCAACGAUGCAUAGCAGACCUGAGAGGGUGAUCGGCAACACUGGGACUGAGACACGGCCUAGACUCCUACGGGAGGCAGCAGUAGGGAAUCUUCGGCAAUGGACGAAAGUCUGACCGAGCAACGCCGCGUGAGUGAAGAAGGUUUUCGGAUCGUAAAACUCUGUUGUUAGAGAAGAACAAGGAUGAGAGUAGAACGUUCAUCCCUUGACGGUAUCUAACCAGAAAGCCACGGCUAACUACGUGCCAGCCGCCGCGGUAA
rnacentral:rRNA from 1 species